rnacentral:tmRNA from 1 species
GGGGUUGUACUGGUUUCGACGGGCUCACUGAAGAUGGAGAAGCUGUUCGUGGUCGGACACCACGUUAAAAGUUCGAAUUUAAAAUUAAACGCUGAAGAUAAUUUAGCACUCGCUGCCUAGUCGCAGCGCAUCGCCCCUGGCGUCCCGCCGUUAGGAUCAGCGAUGUCAUACCCGCGGGAAACUCUGCUUCCUAAGCUUUGCGGAGACAGAAAAUUUAUGAAGCUACUGAAAGCUAUAGCCUGUUAGUGGGCGCUAGCCGGAGGGAAUGAAAAAACACUGACUAUGACAGUAGAAGUACAUGGGAUCUGGGUUCGGACGCGGGUUCGAUUCCCGCCAGCUCCA